CAGCUAGUUGGGGAGGUAACGGCUCACCAAGGCGACGAUGGCUAGGGGAGCUGAGAGGCUGGUCCCCCACACGGGCACUGAGAUACGGGCCCGACUCCUACGGGAGGCAGCAGUAGGGAAUAUUGGGCAAUGGCCGAGAGGCUGACCCAGCCAUGCCGCGUGCAGGAUGAAGGCUUUCUGAGUCGUAAACUGCUUUUGUCAGGGAAGAAUAAGGACCAUGCGUGGUCUGAUGACGGUACCUGGCGAAUAAGCACCGGCUAACUCCGUGCCAGCAGCCGCGGUAAUACGGAGGGUGCAAGCGUUGUCCGGAUUUAUUGGGUUUAAAGGGUGCGUAGGCGGCUUUUUAAGUCUGGGGUGAAAGCCCGUUGCUCAACAACGGAACUGCCCUGGAAACUGGAGAGCUUGAGUACAGACGAGGGUGGCGGAAUGGAUGUUGUAGCGGUGAAAUGCAUAGAUAGCAUCCAGAACCCCGAUUGCGAAGGCAGCUGCCUAGACUGUAACUGACGCUGAGGCACGAAAGCGUGGGGAGCGAACAGGAUUAGAUACCCUGGUAGUCCACGCCGUAAACGAUGGAUACUCGCUGGUGGCGAUAGACGGUCACUGGCUUAGCGAAA
rnacentral:rRNA from 1 species